AUUGAACGCUGGCGGCAGGCCUAACACAUGCAAGUCGAGCGGAUGAAGGGAGCUUGCUCCUGGAUUCAGCGGCGGACGGGUGAGUAAUGCCUAGGAAUCUGCCUGGUAGUGGGGGAUAACGUCCGGAAACGGGCGCUAAUACCGCAUACGUCCUGAGGGAGAAGGUGGGGGAUCUUCGGACCUCACGCUAUCAGAUGAGCCUAGGUCGGAUUAGCUAGUUGGUGGGGUAAAGGCCUACCAAGGCGACGAUCCGUAACUGGUCUGAGAGGAUGAUCAGUCACACUGGAACUGAGACACGGUCCAGACUCCUACGGGAGGCAGCAGUGGGGAAUAUUGGACAAUGGACGAAAGCCUGAUCCAGCCAUGCCGCGUGUGUGAAGAAGGUCUUCGGAUUGUAAAGCACUUUAAGUUGGGAGGAAGGGCAGUAAGUUAAUACCUUGCUGUUUUGACGUUACCAACAGAAUAAGCACCGGCUAACUUCGUG
rnacentral:rRNA from 1 species